UGCUGAAAGAUGUGAAGUGGUUUAUUGUACAAUAUACUCAAUUUAUUAGGAACUGCCAGAUAGUACUUACAAAAUAUUUAAUUGUAGUUUGAAAAUAGUCCCUCUAAAUCACUAAGAAAAAAGAAUUUUAAAAAACAGAUGAAAGGUUAUCUGUUGAGAUGGCAUUUAAGCACGGAAAGUUGAGUACUUGUAAUUGUAUCAGGUCUUAAAUAGCUAUGUUUUAAGGAUAAAGAACUUCCUUUUGAAGCCUAUUACUUAAAAAGAUUGUUUAAGCACUCUGGUUCCUACUAAAUUAUUUUCCCUGUCAUGUCCUGUUAAGUGUUUUUCUAUGUGGUGUUAGGAAAAAUUUAUUUAUUGGAAAUGCUCUUUGUUGGCCCAGGUCCUUUGCACUUGCCUUUGCCGGAGACUACCUACACUUUCUAAAGUUGGUGAAUUUCUGAUUGUCCUUUGUUCACCUUGCAUGUCAUAAGGGAACCUUCCCUGAUGCAUUUAAAAAAAAAUUUUUUUUAACGUU